rnacentral:rRNA from 1 species
GAUCAAGUAAAAAAGAGCAUAUGGCGAAUGCCUAGGCGCUAGGAGCCGAAGAAGGACGUGGUAAGCUGCGAAAAGCUACGGGGAAGUGCAAGCAACUAAAGAGCCGUAGAUAUCCGAAUGAGGAAACUCAUACAGGUUAACAUCUGUAUAUUCCAUAAUGAAUCCAUAGUUAUGGGAGGGGAACCCGGAGAACUGAAACAUCUAAGUACCCGGAGGAAGAGAAAGAAACAUCGAUUUCGUCAGUAGCGGCGAGCGAAAGCGAAAGAGCCCAAACCUAAGUGGGAAACCACAUAGGGGUCGACACUCAGAAAGCAUUGAAGAACUUAGUCGAAUAUGCCUGGAAAGGUAAACCAAAGAAGAGUAAAAGUCCCGUAGACGAAAAGAGAAACAAGCAAGAGUGAUCAAGAGUACCACAGGACACGAGAAACCCGGUGGGAAGACGGGGGGACCACCCCCCAAGGCUAAAUACUACCAAGCGACCGAUAGAGAACAGUACCGUGAGGGAAAGGUGAAAAGAACCCCGGGAGGGGAGUGAAAAAGAACCUGAAACCAUAUGCUUACAAACUGUAGGAGCAAGCAAGCAAUUGCAAGUGACUGCGUACUUUUUGUAGAACGGGCCAACGAGUUGCGAUAUGAUGCAAGGUUAAAUACUUAAGGUAUGGAGCCGAAGCGAAAGCGAGUCUUAAGAGGGCAAGAGUACCAUAUUGCAGACCCGAAACCGGGCGACCUAUCCAUGUCCAGAUUGAAGUUUCCGUAACAGGGAAUGGAGGAUCGAACCCACGUACGUUGAAAAGUGCGGGGAUGAGGUGUGGAUAGCGGUGAAAUUCCAAUCGAGCCCGGAGAUAGCUGGUUCUCUCCGAAAUAGCUUUAGGGCUAGCGUUUUGCAAGAUAUAUAUGGAGGUAAAGCACUGACUGUCCAAUGGGUCUUUUAGAUUACUGAGGAUUAUCAAACUAAGAAUGCCAUAUAUAGCGCAAAGCAGUCAGACUAUGAGUGAUAAGGUCCAUAGUCGAGAGGGAAAGAGCCCAGACCAACAGCUAAGGUCCCAAAAUAUAUGUUAAGUGGGAAAGGAUGUGAGAUUGCAUAGACAACCAGGAUGUUGGCUUAGAAGCAGCCAUACAUUUAAAGAGUGCGUAAUAGCUCACUGGUCGAGUGAUCCUGCGCCGAAAAUUACCGGGGCUAAAACAUAAUACCGAAGCUUUGGAUUAUACUGUAGAGUAUAGUGGUAGGAGAGCAUCGUAUACAGGAUGAAGCAGAAUCGAAAGAAAAAGUGGACCGUAUACGAGAGAGAAUGUUGGCAUGAGUAGCGAGAGGAAGGUGAGAAUCCUUCCGGCCGAAAACCUAAGGUUUCCUGAGGAAGGUUCGUCCGCUCAGGGUAAGUCGGGACCUAAGCCAAGGCCGAAAGGCGUAGGUGAUGGACAACGGGUAAUAAAUCCCGUACCACCGUAGUUGAAUGAGCGAAGGGGGGACGCAGGAGGAUGACCGGAGCACGCCGUUGGUAGAGCGUGUCCAAGCAGAAAGCGAGUAAGACCAGGCAAAUCCGGUAAUACAAUCGUAAUCUGUGAUGGGGAGUGAAAAUAAAGUAGCGAAGCCGAAUCAUUCAAACUGCCAGGAAAAGCCUCUAGCAAGACCAAGGUGCCCGUACCGCAAACCGACACAGGUAGGUGAGGAGAGAAUCCUAAGGCCAGCGAGAGAACUGUUGUUAAGGAACUCGGCAAAAUAACCCCGUAACCUAGGGAGAAGGGGAGCCUGUGAGAGCAGGCCGCAGAGAAUAGGCCCAAGCGACUGUUUACCAAAAACAUAGGUUUCUGCAAAACUGCAAAGUGAAGUAUAGGAGCUGACGCC